rnacentral:rRNA from 1 species
UACAGAGGUCCCAAGCGUUGUUCGGAUUUACUGGGCGUAAAGGGUGCGUAGAUGGCGGGGUAAGUCUGGUGUGAAAGCUCCGAGCUCAACUCGGAAAAGCAUUGGAAACUAUCCCGCUGGAGGGUCGGAGGGGAGACUGGAAUUCUCGGUGUAGCAGUGAAAUGCGUAGAUAUCGAGAGGAACACCAGUGGCGAAGGCGAGUCUCUGGACGACUCCUGACACUGAGGCACGAAGGCCAGGGGAGCAAACGGG